UACGUAGGGUGCAAGCGUUGUCCGGAAUUAUUGGGCGUAAAGAGCUCGUAGGCGGUUUGUCGCGUCUGCUGUGAAAACUCGGGGCUCAACUCCGAGCUUGCAGUGGGUACGGGCAGACUAGAGUGCGGUAGGGGGAGACUGGAAUUCCUGGUGUAGCGGUGGAAUGCGCAGAUAUCAGGAGGAACAUCUGUGGCGAAGGCGACUGCCUGGACCAGCACUGACACUGAGGCACGAAAGCGUGGGGAGCAAACAGGG
rnacentral:rRNA from 1 species